AUAGGAACUCCACAUUUUUUUUCUAUGUAACAGAGUUUUCUCACAGCUUUUAAACGUUUUCAAGAUGACCUCACCGAUCAUCAUAACAACCUAGGAAAUGGGUGCGGAGAUACAAUUAGGAUCAUAUCCAUUUUACAGAGGUUGCAAGUUGAGUCCCCGGUUAGUGGCUGUACCAGUUUCCAAUCGCUGCUGCAACAAAUUACCGCACACCUGGUGGCUUCAAACCAACGUGUGAUCUGACCACUGUGGAGGCCCCAAGUCCCCCUGGGCACCACAGCGCUAACUAAUACCAAGGUGGUGGCAGGGUGGUGGCCUCCUGGAGGUCCGGGGGACAGCCGUGUGUCCCUGCCUUUCCCAGCAUCCAGAGCCCACAUCCCGUGGCACCUCCUGCAGGUGUUGUCCUCUUGACAUCGCACAACUGCCACCUGCCAUUCGGUCUCCCUCUUCCAGUCGCAGACGUCCUCCUGGUGAUGCGAUCGGGCCGACCCCUGGCUGCCAUCACAAUCUCUCCAUGGCAAGCUUCUCCAGUCAGUCACCUCUGCAGAGUCCCUGAGCCUGCUUCUCUCAAGGGACUCUCAAAUAAAUAAAUAAAAUUCAGAAAAAAAAAAGAGGCAAAGCCAACUCAAAUCCCUCAAAUGACUCCAAAACCCAUGGUCUUUCUAACAUUAACCCCGUUGCCUGUGAAUCAGUGAAUAAUUUCACAGUCCACCCACCCAGCAACACCCAAAACAGUGACGGAAAACACGGCCCAGGUCUCCUCAAAGUGCACAGGACAGGCGAGAGCUCCGAUUCUGCCCAAAUAAUACGCGGGCAUCGGAGCGACGAGCUAACAGGAGAUUAUCAUUUCCCACGGGCCGUCCUUCCUCCCCUUCUCUUUCGGCUGAAUCCUGACUGCUUUAUCCAGAUCCAAGAAUUGCCUUGAAUUUAUCAGAUAUAUAAACACAGGAUCACAAAUCCUACUGCAGCUACAAACCAAGGAAUGUGAUUUCUUUAUUUGCAACAGUAAAUUGCAUGAAAAUGCUCAUGAUAUGCCUUGAAUAUAAUCCAAAAUAUUGUGGGUGAAAAUAUCAAGUCAUUUAUAAGAAGAACUAGAAAUAAAUCAUCUUCAACGCUAAAAAAUGAGAGUGGU
rnacentral:lncRNA from 12 species